rnacentral:rRNA from 1 species
GAUUUCUGGUUAAGUAACGCUAGCCCGACCUUGCCAGGGGUGUGCGCUGGUUAGUUGCUUGCCAUCUUUCUAGAAAGCCAGCGUUUGUCAUUCACUUGGCGGACGUGACGCGAUCUAGGUCUUUUACUUUGAAAAAUUAGAAUGUUUAAAGCAGUCUUACGCUAUGAAUACAUUAGCAUGGAAUAAUAUAGGACUUUGGUUAUAUUUUGUUGGUUUCUAGGACUGAAGUAAUGAUUGAUAGGGAUAGUUGGGAGUGUUAGUAUUCAGUGGCCAGAGCUGAAAUUCUUGUAUUCACUAAAGACUAACUACUGCGAAAGCAUU